rnacentral:rRNA from 1 species
CCUACGGGUGACUGCAGAGAGGAAUAUUGGUCAAUGGGCGCGAGCCUGAACCAGCCAAGUAGCGUGAAGGAUGACUGCCCUACGGGUUGUAAACUUCUUUUAUAAAGGAAUAAAGAGAGGCACGUGUGCCUUUUUGUAUGUACUUUAUGAAUAAGGAUCGGCUAACUCCGUGCAAGCAGCCGCGGUAAUACGGAGGAGCCGAGCUUUAUCCGGAUUUAUUGUGUUUAAGGGGAGCGUAGAUGGGUUGUUAAGUCAGUUGUGAAAGUUUGCGGCUCAACCGUAAAAUUGCAAUUGAUACUGGCAGUCUUGAGUACAGUUGAGGUAGGCGGAAUUCGUGGUGUAGCGGUGAAAUGCUUAGAUAUCACGAAGAACUCCGAUUGCGAAGGCAGCUUACUAAACUGCCACUGACAUUGAUGCUCGAAAGUGUGGGUAUCAAACAGGAUUAGAUACCCCUGUAGUC